UGACUGGACCCAUGCGUUCUGAGUAAACAAGAGAGCCCCUUCUGGCUUCUCCGGGAGGAACCAAAUGGCUUCAGCAUUCAGCUCCAGAGCCCGAUGGAGACCAAGAGUGAUACACUGUACUCAUGAUCAACUGCUCAGUUCUGGUUUGGGCCUCUGAG